AGCAAUCCUGCCAGAAACAUGGCCCACCUGCCCCACCACUGAUCUGGUGACACAUGCAGAGAUCAAUUUUGCAACUUGCAUUUCAACAUUCCUGCUUGAAGUGCGGAUCUCCUGCCCUUCAGCACACAUGGCCAGUCACAUGCCAAGAAUCCUGUAAUUCAUCUAAUAGAGCCAGCUCACCCUCAGAAUUCCUCAAGGGUGACAA
rnacentral:misc_RNA from 1 species